rnacentral:rRNA from 1 species
UUUGGAGGUAGUGACAAUAAAUCACAAUGCGGGACUAUCAGUCUUGCAAUUGGAUUGAGAACAAUGUACAACUCUUAUCGAUAAGCCAUUGGAGGGCAAGUCUGGUGCCAGCAGCCGCGGUAAUUCCAGCUCCAAUAGCGUAUAUUAACGUUGUUGCAGUUAAAAAGCUCGUAGUUGAAGUGUGGGUGAUCGCUAUUGUGAGACUUCGGUCUCUCGACAGUAAGUCACCCCCUUCCAGUAUCCAGUAGUGGGUAUUCAGUUACUUACUAUUGUGUGUUGGUCCUUUACUGUGAGAAAAUUAGAGUGUUCAAAGCAGGCGUUUGCUUGAAUAGAUUAGCAUGGAAUAAUAAUUGAAGGCUUUCGUGUUCGAUUUGAUUGGUUUGUUCAUGGAAGCAAGGUUAAAAGGAACAGUUGGGGGUAUUCAUAUUCACUAGUUAGAGGUGAAAUUCUCGGAUUUAUGGAAGAUGAACAAGUGCGAAAGCAA